rnacentral:rRNA from 1 species
GCUGGCGGCAGGCCUAACACAUGCAAGUCGAGCGGUAGAGAGAAGCUUGCUUCUCUUGAGAGCGGCGGACGGGUGAGUAAUGCCUAGGAAUCUGCCUAGUGGUGGGGGAUAACGUUCGGAAACGGACGCUAAUACCGCAUACGUCCUACGGGAGAAAGCGGGGGAUCUUCGGACCUCGCGCCAUUAGAUGAGCCUAGGUCGGAUUAGCUAGUUGGUGAGGUAAUGGCUCACCAAGGCGACGAUCCGUAACUGGUCUGAGAGGAUGAUCAGUCACACUGGAACUGAGACACGGUCCAGACUCCUACGGGAGGCAGCAGUGGGGAAUAUUGGACAAUGGGCGAAAGCCUGAUCCAGCCAUGCCGCGUGUGUGAAGAAGGUCUUCGGAUUGUAAAGCACUUUAAGUUGGGAGGAAGGGUAGUAACCUAAUACGUUGCUACUUUGACGUUACCGACAGAAUAAGCACCGGCUAACUUCGUGCCAGCAGCCGCGGUAAUACGAAGGGUGCAAGCGUUAAUCGGAAUUACUGGGCGUAAAGCGCGCGUAGGUGGUUCAGUAAGUUGGAAGUGAAAUCCCCGGGCUCAACCUGGGAACUGCUUUCAAAACUGCUGAGCUAGAGUACGGUAGAGGGUGGUGGAAUUUCCUGUGUAGCGGUGAAAUGCGUAGAUAUAGGAAGGAACACCAGUGGCGAAGGCGACCACCUGGACUGAUACUGACACUGAGGUGCGAAAGC